GAUGAACGCUGGCGGCGUGCCUAACACAUGCAAGUCGAACGGAGUCCAGCCUUAGAGACCUUCGGGUCAAAGAGGGGAAGACUGAGUGGCGGACGGGUGAGUAACACGUGGGCAACCUGGCUCAUAGAGGGGGAUAACAGAGAGAAAUUUCUGCUAAUACAGCAUAAGCACACACUGCCGCAUGGCAGAGUGUGAAAAGAGAAUCGCUAUGAGAUGGACCCGCGUCUGAUUAGCCAGUUGGCAGGGUAAGAGCCUACCAAAGCGACGAUCAGUAGCCGAUUUGAGAGGAUGAACGGCCACAUUGGGACUGAGACACGGCCCAAACUCCUACGGGAGGCAGCAGUGGGGGAUAUUGCACAAUGGGGGGAACCCUGAUGCAGCGACGCCGCGUGAGUGAAGAAGUAUUUCGGUAUGUAAAGCUCUAUCAGCAGGGAAGAUAAUGACAGUACCUGAAUAAGAAGCCCCGGCUAACUACGUG
rnacentral:rRNA from 1 species